UGUCUCAGUCUUCCAAGUCGCUGGGGCUAGAGAUGCCUGAUCAGGCUAUGUAUUUUUAAUAACUUCCCUAGAACUUAAUGUGCAGCCACUUCCUUAGUAUCUAUGUCUAAAACUGACCCUGCUGGGCAGGGUGGCACAACCCUGAAGUCCCAGCAUUCAGGAGGCUGAGGCAGGAGGAUCACUAUGAGUUUGAGGCCCGCCUGAGCUACAGACAUAAUGAGACCAGAAAAAAGGAAGGAAGGAAGGAAAAAAGAAAAGAAAAGAUCAGUUAAAUUUCUUCGGCCAGAUGGGCUGAGAAGGAAAGGUGGGAGCACAUGGAGGUCCCAGAGCUGCAGUGAGAUGCCUGUCCAUGGCUACAGGCAGGGAACUCUCCGAAGGAGGGCUGGCCUGUCUGGCCUUUCCUCUGGGGACCAUCAGCCCGUCCCCAGAGCUCCUCCUCUGGCCUGGGGCACUGAUGUUCUUGCACGCGCCCAGCCAGCGUUGGUACUGAAGUGCUAUCUGGUACAGCACCUUUAGGGGCCCUGGCUCAUCUGGCCCUCCUGUGCACUUCUGAGGCAGGGACUAUUGUCCCCGACUCACAGAUUAAGAAACCGAGAUUUAUAGAAACAAAGUGACUUGACAGUCUCAUAGCCAGACAGUGGCACAUUCCUCACGUGAGAGCCACUCUGCGGGGCCGGGGAAGCAGAAAGGUGUUUGGCUUUUGUCAGGGGCUAGGGAGAGGGGUGGAGGUGAAACAGGAGCAGCUUCCUCAUCAGGGGAGUCCGCCUCCUGCCCACUCCGGAGGUUCUGCGUCAGUGGCUCUGGGGUCAUCUGAAACCCACUUUCCCCAGCUCAGACCAGCCUGCGCCAGGCCUGUCACCUACUUCUCCUGAGCCAGAGGAGGGCAGCACCACCAGGGUUCCAAGAAGUCCACACGGGGCAGAGGAGAAGCACCACUGAAGACCCCAAGAGGGGACAGCCAGGAAACAGCAGAAGGAGGGCUGAGUCAGAGUUCCCUUCAUGGGGAGCAGGGGUCCCUGCUGCUUCCUACUCCUCCAGUUCUCUAUCGGGGUCACCCUGAGUCUCAGGGCUUCUCGGCUUCUGCAGAGCAGUGCUCCAACCACCCAUCACUGCAUGAACCCUUCUCCGAGUAGCCUGGUCUGAGACCUGGGGGCUGAGUGUGGUUUGCUGCUCUCCACCUGGACUUGUCAGUGUAGCACUGGCUGGUGGGGCCAGACCAGCUUGAUGACAGUGAGGAGAAAUUCCUUUGGUUGAGAUCCAACGGGUCCCCUGAAAGCUCACGGGUUCGGCGGUGGAGCUUUUGGCAGUUCCCGUGGGAUGAGUGGCUGUCCUCCACCACUUCAGCCACGCAAUUUCUCCCUUGGAGCCAGCCAGUCAUGGAUGAAUCCUCUAAAACAAGCCAGCCCCAUCUGCCGGACGACCUGAAGCUCUCAGUACUCGGCCACUGGGAAUUCGGACACCAGCCGUUGAGCCACACCGCUCGCCUCCUUUGGGGAGAGGCUGCGGGGAGACCCAGUGAAGACACUGGGCGCUGCCCGAGACAGGGGCCCUGCCGGCGAAGGGGUAGGGGAUGCGAGGUGGGUCAAAUGGGCAAGUGGUAAGAGAGUGUGGGCCGGGAGCGCCGCCGGGCUCCUGCUGCAGGCCGAGGCACCCACCCCGGUUGUUUAUUAACGUGCUGCAAGUCCGCGAGCCGCCCAACUUUCUUUAAUGAGCCUAGAAGAAGAGGCUGCCCUGAAGGGGUUUGUUCAUUAAAGAUGUAG